rnacentral:rRNA from 1 species
AUUAAACUGAAGAGUUUGAUCAUGGCUCAGAUUGAACGCUGGCGGCAGGCUUAACACAUGCAAGUCGAGCGGAGUGAUGGUGCUUGCACCAUCACUUAGCGGCGAACGGGUGAGUAAUGCCUAGGAAUCUGCCCAUUAGCGGGGGACAACGUGUGGAAACGCACGCUAAUACCGCAUACGCCCUACGGGGGAAAGCAGGGGACUCUUUGAGCCUUGCACUAAUGGAUGAGCCUAGGUCAGAUUAGCUAGUUGGUGGGGUAAAGGCCUACCAAGGCGACGAUCUGUAGCGGGUCUGAGAGGAUGAUCCGCCACACUGGAACUGAGACACGGUCCAGACUCCUACGGGAGGCAGCAGUGGGGAAUAUUGGACAAUGGGCGCAAGCCUGAUCCAGCCAUGCCGCGUGUGUGAAGAAGGCCUUUUGGUUGUAAAGCACUUUAAGCGGGGAGGAGGCUAACCUGGUUAAUACCUGGGAUUAGUGGACGUUACCCGCAGAAUAAGCACCGGCUAACUCUGUGCCAGCAGCCGCGGUAAUACAGAGGGUGCGAGCGUUAAUCGGAAUUACUGGGCGUAAAGCGCGCGUAGGCGGUUUGUUAAGUCGGAUGUGAAAUCCCCGGGCUCAACCUGGGAAUUGCAUUCGAUACUGGCAAGCUAGAGUAUGGGAGAGGAAGGUAGAAUUCCAGGUGUAGCGGUGAAAUGCGUAGAGAUCUGGAGGAAUACCGAUGGCGAAGGCAGCCUUCUGGCCUAAUACUGACGCUGAGGUGCGAAAGCAUGGGGAGCAAACAGGAUUAGAUACCCUGGUAGUCCAUGCCGUAAACGAUGUCAACUAGCCGUUGGGGGAUUUGAUCCUUUAGUGGCGCAGCUAACGCGAUAAGUUGACCGCCUGGGGAGUACGGUCGCAAGACUAAAACUCAAAUGAAUUGACGGGGGCCCGCACAAGCGGUGGAGCAUGUGGUUUAAUUCGAUGCAACGCGAAGAACCUUACCUGGUCUUGACAUAGUGAGAAUCUUUCAGAGAUGAGAGAGUGCCUUCGGGAAUUCACAUACAGGUGCUGCAUGGCUGUCGUCAGCUCGUGUCGUGAGAUGUUGGGUUAAGUCCCGCAACGAGCGCAACCCUUUUCCUUAUUUGCCAGCACUU